rnacentral:lncRNA from 1 species
GAGACAAUGACGAGCUUGUCAUCGACAACAAACUUCAUUUUCUGAUGCAAAGUAGAAGUCACUGCCCCAGCAGCAUGUAUCCAUGGACGUCCCAAAAGGCAGCUAUAAGCGGGAUUUAUGUCCAUGACUUGGAAAUUGAUGGGGAAUACAUGCGGUCCGAUUUGGAUUGGUAGCUCUACCUCCCCAACUACUGUCCUCCAAGAACCAUC